GUGCUCGCUUCUGCAGCACAUAUACCAAAAUUGGAAGGAUACAGAGAAGAUUAGCAUGGCCUCUGCACAAGGAUGGCAUGUGAAUUUGUGAAGGUUUU
ensembl:snRNA U6 U6 spliceosomal RNA